UUUUUUCUUUUUCACGUCGAAAAAAACCGCAAGUGCUGCUUUUCAUUGAAAUUAAUUGGAGGCCGUUUUAACUUUUUUUUUUUAAGCUGUUCUUGAGGUGGGAACGCUCCAAAAUAAGCGCCAGAAAUAACUCUGCGUGAACUGGGCCUAACAAAAUGUGGCUGGUGGCUUUGCACAUGGCAGGUUUCUUGGGUAAUCCUGCUGCUGUAAUGACAUCUACUAAUGAAGAGUCGCAAUCGGAUCCUCUGGGCCGGUUCCUGUUCCUGAAGCUGCGAAUCCAUGAGAGAGUGUACACCAUUGGGAAUCUUUACCUGCCUAACACCAGACAAAGCAGAGCUCUAUCAGUUUAACAGAUGUGAAUGGAUGAAGGAAGCAAAAGCAGAUGUCGGAGUGUAACAACAAGGUACAAGACUGGUUCACUACAGGUACUGGACUGGGAAAGGCCUUUCAUCCCUAUGCUGCCUUCUCUGCAUCCUUCCUUACUUUGCAGUCCCCAUCUAUAAUGACAGUCCCGUAACACCGCUGACCACAGCUGAGAUCAAGGCUCGAGAUCAGCACGUCCAUGAUCUAUAUCAAUAUGCUGCCCUUUUCAAAGGAGGUUGUCCCAUGUUUAAAGAGGUCCUGUUACUGGAUAUGUCUGUA